rnacentral:rRNA from 1 species
AGUGAACGCUGGCGGUAGGCCUAACACAUGCGAGUCGAACGGCAGCACAGUAAGAGCUUGCUCUUACGGGUGGCGAGUGGCGGACGGGUGAGGAAUACAUCGGAAUCUACUUUUUCAUGGGGGAUAACGUAGGGAAACUUACGCUAAUACCGCAUACGACCUACGGGUGAAAGAAGGGGAUCUUCGGACCUUGCGCGAUUGAAUGAGCCGAUGUCGGAUUAGCUAGUUGGCGGGGUAAAGGCCCACCAAGGCGACGAUCCGUAGCUGGUCUGAGAGGAUGAUCAGCCACACUGGAACUGAGACACGGUCCAGACUCCUACGGGAGGCAGCAGUGGGGAAUAUUGGACAAUGGGCGCAAGCCUGAUCCAGCCAUACCGCGUGGGUGAAGAAGGCCUUCGGGUUGUAAAGCCCUUUUGUUGGGAAAGAAAAGCAGCAGGUUAAUACCCCGCUGUUCUGACGGUACCCAAAGAAUAAGCACCGGCUAACUUCGUG